rnacentral:snRNA from 1 species
GGAUGUGAGGGCGAUCUGGCUGCGACAUCUGUCACCCUAUUGAUCGCCAGGGUUGAUAUGGCUGAUCUGGCUGGCUAGGCGGGUGUCCCCUUCCUCCCUCAACGCUCCAUGUGCAUCCCUCCCAAAGCUGUGCGCUCAGUGGAAGAGGAAGACCACCCCUCACCCCCACCUCCCAUAGAGGAGGACCGUUCCUCCCAUCAAGGGUAUACGAGUAGCUGCGCUCCCCUGCUAGAACCUCCAAACAAGCUUUCAAAAACAAAAACUAAACAAAACAAAACAAAAAGAAUCUCAGAGGACUUUUGUGUCCUUU